GACGAACGCUGGCGGCGUGCCUAAUACAUGCAAGUAGAACGCUGAAGGAGGAGCUUGCUUCUCUGGAUGAGUUGCGAACGGGUGAGUAACGCGUAGGUAACCUGCCUGGUAGUGGGGGAUAACUAUUGGAAACGAUAGCUAAUACCGCAUAAUAGCAGUUGUUGCAUGAUAACUGUUUGAAAGGUGCAAUUGCACCGCUACCAGAUGGACCUGCGUUGUAUUAGCUAGUUGGUGGGGUAACGGCUCACCAAGGCGACGAUACAUAGCCGACCUGAGAGGGUGAUCGGCCACACUGGGACUGAGACACGGCCCAGACUCCUACGGGAGGCAGCAGUAGGGAAUCUUCGGCAAUAGACGGAAGUCUGACCGAGCAACGCCGCGUGAGUGAAGAAGGGUUUCGGAUCGUAAAGCUCUGUUGUAAGAGAAGAACGAGUGUGAGAGUGGAAAGUUCACACUGUGACGGUAUCUUACCAGAAAGGGACGGCUAACUACGUG
rnacentral:rRNA from 1 species